AUACGGAGGGUGCAAGCGUUGUUCGGAAUCAUUGGGCGUAAAGCGCGCGUAGGCGGCUUGGCAAGUCGGGUGUGAACUCCCGGGGCCCAACCCCGGAACUGCAUUCGAAACUGCCUAGCUAGAGUCCCGGAGAGGAAGGCAGAAUUCCCGGUGUAGAGGUGAAAUUCGUAGAUAUUGGGAGGAAUACCAGUGGCGAAGGCGGCCUUCUGGACGGUGACUGACGCUCAGACGCGAAAGCGUGGGGAGCAAACAGGAUUAGAAACCCCUGUAGUCC
rnacentral:rRNA from 1 species